UCUCCGUUGGUGAACCAGCGGAGGGAUCAUUAUCGAGUUUAUAACUCCCAAACCCUAUGUGAACUUACCACUGGUUGCUUCGGCGCGCGCUGCGGCGCCGCCGAGGACACUUAAACUCUUUGUUUUUAUAAGCAUUUCUGAGUGGCCGAAAGGCAAAAUACAAAUGAAUCAAAACUUUCAACAACGGAUCUCUUGGUUCUG
rnacentral:misc_RNA from 1 species